rnacentral:rRNA from 1 species
AUACGUAGGGGGCGAGCGUUGUCCGGAAUGAUUGGGCGUAAAGGGCGCGUAGGCGGCCCGGUAAGUCUGGAGUGAAAGUCCUGUUUUUAAGAUGGGAAUUGCUUUGGAUACUGUCGGGCUUGAGUGCAGGAGAGGUAAGUGGAAUUCCCAGUGUAGCGGUUAAAUGCGUAGAGAUUGGGAGGAACACCAGUGGCGAAGGCGACUUACUGGACUGUAACUGACGCUGAGGCGCGAAAGUGUGGGGAGCAAACAGGAUUAGAUACCCUGGUAGUCCACACUGUAAACGAUGAAUGCUAGGUGUAGGGGGUAUCGACCCCUUCUGUGCCGCAGUCAACACAAUAAGCAUUCCGCCUGGGGAGUACGGCCGCAAGGUUGAAACUCAAAUGAAUUGACGGGG